GGGGAAUAUUGGACAAUGGGCGAAAGCCUGAUCCAGCAAUGCCGCGUGAGUGAUGAAGGCCUUAGGGUUGUAAAGCUCUUUUACCCGGGAUGAUAAUGACAGUACCGGGAGAAUAAGCCCCGGCUAACUCCGUGCCAGCAGCCGCGGUAAUACGGAGGGGGCUAGCGUUGUUCGGAAUUACUGGGCGUAAAGCGCACGUAGGCGGCUUUGUAAGUUAGAGGUGAAAGCCCGGAGCUCAACUCCGGAAUUGCCUUUAAGACUGCAUCGCUUGAAUCAUGGAGAGGUGAGUGGAAUUCCGAGUGUAGAGGUGAAAUUCGUAGAUAUCGGGAGGAACACCAGUGGCGAAGGCGACUUCCUGGCCUGUUCUUGACGCUGAGGCGCGAAAGCUAGGGUAGCAAA
rnacentral:rRNA from 1 species